rnacentral:rRNA from 1 species
UACGGAGGGCGCGAGCGUUAAUCGGAAUUACUGGGCGUAAAGCGCGCGUAGGCUGCUGUGUAAGUUGGGGUGACAUCCCACGGCUCAACCGUGGAACAGCCCUUGAUACUGCGCGACUUGAAUCCGGGAGAGGGUGGCGGAAUUCCAGGUGUAGGAGUGAAAUCCGUAGAUAUCUGGAGGAACAUCAGUGGCGAAGGCGGCCACCUGGACCGGUAUUGACGCUGAGGCGCGAAAGCGUGGGGAGCAAACAGG